rnacentral:rRNA from 1 species
AGAGUUUGAUCCUGGCUCAGAACGUACGCUGGCGGCACGCCUAACACAUGCAAGUCGAACGAAGUAGCAAUACUUAGUGGCAGACGGGUGAGUAACAUGUAGGUAUCUGCCCUUUGGCCUGGAAUAACACGAGGAAACUUGUGCUAAUACCGGAUAAGUCUUUACGGAGAAAGCUUUAUGCACCAUUGGAUGAGCCUGCACUUGAUUAGUUUGUUGGUAGGGUAAUGGCCUACCAAGACUUUGAUCAAUAGCUGAUUUGAGAGGAUGAUCAGCCACAUUGGGACUGAGACACGGCCCAAACUCCUACGGGAGGCAGCAGUGGGGAAUCUUGCACAAUGGAGGAAACUCUGAUGCAGCGAUGCCGCGUGAGUGAAGAAGGCCCUUGGGUUGUAAAGCUCUUUCGUCGGGGAAGAAAAUGACUGUACCCGAAUAAGAAGGUCCGGCUAACUUCGUGCCAGCAGCCGCGGUAAUACGAAGGGACCUAGCGUAGUUCGGAAUUACUGGGCUUAAAGAGUUCGUAGGUGGUUGAAAAAGUUGGUGGUGAAAUCCCAGAGCUUAACUCUGGAACUGCCAUCAAAACUUUUCAGCUAGAGUUUGAUAGAGGAAAGCAGAAUUUCUAGUGUAGAGGUGAAAUUCGUAGAUAUUAGAAAGAAUACCAAUUGCGAAGGCAGCUUUCUGGAUCAUUACUGACACUGAGGAACGAAAGCAUGGGUAGCGAAGAGGAUUAGAUACCCUCGUAGUCCAUGCCGUAAACGAUGUGUGUUAGACGUUGGAGAUUUUAUUUUCAGUGUCGCAGCGAAAGCGAUAAACACACCGCCUGGGGAGUACGACCGCAAGGUUAAAACUCAAAUGAAUUGACGGGGACCCGCACAAGUAGUGGAGCAUGUGGUUUAAUUCGAAGAUACGCGCAGAACCUUACCAACACUUGACAUGUUCGUCGCGACUUUAAGAGAUUAAAGUUUUCGGUUCGGCCGGACGAAACACAGGUGCUGCAUGGCUGUCGUCAGCUCGUGUCGUGAGAUGUUGGGUUAAGUCCCGCAACGAGCGCAACCCUCACUUUUAGUUGCCAUCAUUAAGUUGGGCACUCUGAAAGAACUGCCAGUGAUAAGCUGGAGGAAGGUGGGGAUGACGUCAAGUCCUCAUGGCCCUUACGUGUUGGGCUACACACGUGCUACAAUGGUGACUACAACAGGAAGCAAGACAGCGAUGUUAAGCAAAUCCUUAAAAGUUACCUCAGUUCGGAUUGCACUCUGCAACUCGAGUGCAUGAAGCUGGAAUUACUAGUAAUCGUGGAUCAGCGUGCCUCGGUGAAUGCGUUCCCGGGUCUUGUACACACCGCCCGUCACACCAUGGGAGUUGGUUCUACCUUAAGGCAAGGCUUAAAACCCUUGACCACGGUAUAGUCAGCGACUGGGGUGAAGUCGUAACAAGGUAACC